rnacentral:rRNA from 1 species
CCCUUAGAUGUUCUGGGCCGCACGCGCGCUACACUGAAUGGAUCAACGUGUUUUCCCUUCCCGAGAGGGACGGGUAACCCGCUGAACCCCAUUCGUGGUAGGGAUCGGAGCUUGCAAUUGUUCUCCGUGAACCAGGAAUUCCCAGUAAGCGCAAGUCAUAAGCUUGCGUUGAUUACGUCCCUGCCCUUUGUACACACCGCCCGUCGCUACUACCGAUUGAAUGGUCCGGUGAACCCUCCGGAUCGGCUCGCGCCAACGCAAGUUGAGCAAAGGCCGAGAAGUUGGGUAAACCUUACCAUUUAGAGGAAGGUGAAGUCGUAACA